UAGUAUGUGGGCCACCAGCACAGCAUUGCUGCUAACAGAGCAGUGUAGGUCCACGUCCGGGAACUGAACCCAGGUUGCAGAAGCAGACGGUACCAAAUUUAGGCACUAGGCCACCAAGGCUGACCUAUAAAUAGCACUUUUUGAGAUGAAUAAAAUAUCUCCAAUAGUGGUGUGCUACAGAAAUAGAAAACAAACAAAUCAAACAAAAAAACCUCUACUUUUUAUUGUUAGGUAAAAUGUGUUGGGGUUGUUUUCUGACAAAUAUCAACCCCUAGAAACAACAGUAUCUAGUCUGAAGUUCUAUAAAGUAAGAAAUUCAAUUAAACUGAAUUACUAUGGGUGCGUUAGAUAUCUUUACUGAGCUUUUCUGCCUACUCUAAGGAAUACCCAAUGCUGUCAAUGACUAAUAAGUUCUAGUUUGAUUUUUCUCCCAUAAGUAAUGUUUCAGGAAAUACAGGUAAAAUGCUAAGAAAAACAGAAAUUUUAUGUCUUUCUGAAUUAUUUGAAUUUCUGACCUUGUUCACAUCCUUCUUUGUGAAACAUUGAGGUAAAUGCCUGCCUUGUGUAGCCUAAAUACAAUACCACAUCUUUCUCAUUACCCUCACCAAUUUCCCCUACUUAACUUUAGAAAUGUAAAAAAAAGAACCACAAAACAAAACAACAGAAAAACCUCCAAUAAUUCUAUUUUUUCUGAGUAGAAAAGAAGAAGCUGGAUGGCAUUAAAGAAUAAAAUGUAACAGCACAAAGAGAAGUGAAAAUCUGCUAAGGAUUUGGUGUAAUGUGCCUGAUUUGGGUUACAGAAUACUAUUUUAGCCUAAAUUGCUCAUCCUGGCUUUCAACACUGAGAAAAGCAAGAAGAAGAAAGAUCAGAUUUUUUUCAUUCUCUUUGGGCCUGUGUCAGGCAAGCAGCUUUAAUAUAGCUAUUGACCAGUAGCAGAACAGAAAUUAUUUUCCUGUACAUGUGAUUAUGAAAUCAAGUGUGGAGUAAAUGCAAACAAACCUGAUAUUAAAAGGUAUAACUUCUAGAAAAUGAAAGUGUGAUUAUUUUUUUAAGCACUCUUUGCAACCUAAUGGAAGUUACCAGAGUGAAUUUUAAAUAGUAUGUUUGAAAUAGCACUUUAUUUGCAGAAAUUCAUUUCAUGCAAAUUUUCCAAACUGUACUUAAAGUAAAGCACAUCAGAGUUAUUAAAUUAUUUGCAUGAUAGCUAGUACAAGGAAAUCCUGGGACUCAGUUUAAUUUCCUUCUACUUCUUUCCAAGCCACAUCCUUUCUCUCACUCUUAUCGAUGAGUUCUCAAGACCCGAAUGCUGAUGCUCUGUAGGGUGGUAAUUGCCAGACGAAGCAUGAAGGUUUAAACAGAAGAGGCGUUAAGUAUGCCAGGGCCAAGCUUAGUGUGACAGCUGCCAGCAUCAUGUGAUUUUAAAAGUUCCAAAAGGCCUCACUCCGCCCCCCCCAAAUUUUUGCCCAUUGGCUUCUACCUCAGAGCCAGAAAUUUCCAUAGUUUCUACUCUUUGACCCAAGGAAGCAGAGACUUUUGCCUAAAUACCAAUAUUAUGCAGGAGAGAUAGCACAGCAAGGUUUAAGCGGAAGGGAAAAGAAUGUACUUACAAAAGUUGUGAGCUUGGCAUAUUAGUGGCAGACUGUGAGAUCCAGGCUAAUUCAAGUGGAAAUUUCAUCUACGAUAAAUUUGUAUGGGUAAAAUGACACAGGUGUAGAGUCAGUAAACUGGCACCUUGGUGAAUAAGAAGCAAAUCAGGGAUAGUUCAGAGUUUUGCCCUGGGAGCAUCUUAAAGGCUUCAUGCAACCUCUUAGUUGAUGAAAAAGAAGACGAUCUGCUUUGCACUCAAACAUUUUGAGAUCAAGGCACAGAAGGGAAGUGGAAUUGUCCAAUAGGCACAUUAAGCGUCUGUAACUUAAGAGAGAAAACAGGACUGGUGAUUUAAGAUAAAAGAAUUAUCCACAGUGAGUUGGUGGAGGAGCAUGAAGAGGUGACAUCACCAGCAAAGUAGGUUAAAGAAAGUAGAACAGUGGACAUAGCUAUGAAGACCAAGAGUAGGCAAUGAGCUAGAAAAGGAGCAAGAGAAGGAUUUGAGGGUGAAAAGGAGAAGCCAGAAGGGUGUAGAUAACUAGUGGAAGGAAAGAAUUCCAAGAAAAAUAUGUGUAGACAACAGUGUCAACUGCCAGAGAGAGGAAGCAUAUUAAAAUGACGCUGGGUAGAGCAAGGUGGAGGGCACUGAUGAACUUUCACUGCAUAGGCUCAGCCAAAAAGUAGGACAGAUAGGCUGUGUGUGAGAAGGAAAUGGAGGCACUAGGCACAAACCACUGAGUGGCCUUUAAAGGAAGUAGAGAACCAAAUGAUAGCUCAAGGAAGGAGCAAUGUGAAGUGAAGAUUUUUCUCAAGGUAGAGGAGAUCUAAAGAGAAAGUGGAUAUUCUCUCCUCCUGGCUCUGAAGAUGUUUGUAAAAAGUGAACGUAAGCAGAUAAGAACUGUUUCAACCACAGAUCCUUCCAGAAAAGGAAUCUGGAGAAAAUUAACUCCUCAUCUAAAGUAACAGAUGUUGGCUUCUCCUCCAGAUACAUUUGUUAAGGAGUGAAGGAUGUUUCUCCAAAUACUUCCCACUCCAUUCCACCCCAUCCCACUCCCACUAUGGGGACACUAUUUGCUUUCUAGCAGUUUCCCACUCACAGGGUCUCAGCUCACUCCUUUUCUGCACCAGGCUGGGUGGUAAGACCCAUUCCCCUCCCUGUUUUCAAAUGAACCAUCUACUUGCCUCUAGACCAGAGUUUCUUAACUUCUGCACUAUUGUCCUGUUGAACCCAUUAGUUUUUUGUUGGGGUGGUGGGAAGGGCUCCUGUGCAUUGUAGGAUGUUUAGUAGCAUCCCCGACCUCUCCACUAGGUGUCAGCAGCAUGCUCUCCUACAGUCCUAACAAUGAAAAAUGUCUUGCCGAAUAUUCUUCCAGGGGCAAAAUACCUCACUCCUUCAUUGAGAAUCACUGCUAUAGACACUUCUCUCCCCUGAUCCUCCCUAAAGGCCAAUACAGACACCCUCUCCCACCCCCCUCCUCCCAUAAUGCCUGUCUCUGAAACAAGCAAAUGACACUUUUUUCUUUCCAAAAAUACUUCACUGAAGGUAAAAACCAGCAAGGCUUAACAAAUAUAAUCCUGACAAAAUUCCAGUUUCAAGAAUAGUAGCAAUGUGGCCAUGCCCCCAGAUUCCAGGAAGUGUGAAGGAAGUGAGGGCUGCCAUUUCCAUGCCUCCUUCCUGGGCUUCCUUCUUAGCCAAGCAUGAGAACUGGCUGCAUCCCAGUUGUGGUGAGACUGGAUGCUGGACCUAUCUCCUGAUUCACAGUCCUGUUGGACACAGAUAGAGGUUUGCAUGGCCAGCAGAUCCGGUAGGUCAGCGUCUUUAUUUCAUUGUCUGAUAUUGGCCACAUGGUCACCCUUUUUGCCAAAAAUCGGUGUAGUUUCUCUAUAGUUUGUUCUUAUUCUGUGUACACACACCUCUCCUUCAAAUAUUCAGAUUGCCCAGGUUUCAGUCCAUCAUUUACUGACCUUGCCUCAUAUUUAGAGACUAAUGGUUCCAAGCCUGGGAUCUUAACCGUUCCCUAGACCGUGGGUGAGGAAUAGCAUUUCCCAUUCAAUUCCAAGUCUUCCCCCUUGGCCUCAGGCGGCCCUCUGCUAACCUGCACUCACUCCUAAGUCUUCCUGGUGGUCUCCAGGGCUCUGGCCGUGUGAAUCUAGCCCCCUCCCCAGUUCCUUUUUUCUCUGCACUUUUCAUUUGCUUAAGACAUCUUUUUAUUUGAAUGCCGAGCCUAGUUUGACAUGUUAGACCUCCAAUAAAUUCUUCUCACAGUCCAAGAAACAUUCUGGGUCCUUAGCUCAUUUGAAGAGAAGAAAUAACAGACAUAUCUUGAGUCCUAUAAAUUAUUAAUACAUUUCUUAUGGAUUACACUAGCUUUGCCUACUUUUCAAAAGCCUUCCUGAGUCAUCAUUUAUGUGCAUUUCUCAUCCCUCCAAGGAAGCGGUUGUUUACCAGGUUAAGCCACUCUACACUGACAGCAACACUAACUGAUAAUUUAGUAGACUUUGGGACACAUCCCUGACCUCCUGACCAACAAAAACAUUAAAAGCUCUUGCUUAUAAACUAAUUGUCCUUUUCUUUUUGGAAAUGUAUUUGCAGAUCUCUUUGGAAUUCUUUCUUUGAAUGGCUUCAUUGGUUGAAAUAUAAAACAAUAGUGAUUGAUCCUAUAAAAAGGAAAGAAGUAUGGACUCCUAUCUUCCUCAUCUUUUUAUCAUAUUGAAGAUGGUUACCAUUUAUCAAAAUCAAUCUAUUCCUUAGGAACACUCUCCAGUUGGCUCCCAGAUCAGUCAACAUGCCUGUAAAUAUUUUGCUUUCAGCCCUCUGCCCUCACAUAGGCACCCAGAGGAACAAAUGCCUAUUUUUCCAACCACUUUCUGGCUAAAUCAUUUAGUCUUUGCUCCAAAAAAUAAACAGACACUUCCCCUAAGGCUUCCAUAAAAAAAUCCUUUCCAAAUCCUACCAAUUCGGUUCUCAAACUGUAUAGACUGACAAAGCCACUGACUCUAGCAUUUCUCUAACUUGCUUUAAAAAAAAGAACAAAAGGCCCCAAAAUGUCAAUACAAGAGCCCAGGAUAUCCAUCACUUUACCAAUGACUGAUAGUACACACACACAAUGAGCCCAGCCCCUCCCUUGAGCCAAGACUCUUGAGAAUCCAAAGAAUGUACACAUUGAAUUGAUCUACUCAUGUCACGGAUAAAACUGACAGAGGAGAGCCAUUAGAUCAUUCUACUCCCUAACCUGCAAGAUGAAGAAUUAUCGUUUACAACCAUAAUCUUUCCCCCAUUAUUGAAAACUCUAUGAUAAAUGGACAUUAACUAUGUAACAGAUAUACCUUGAGUCCUAUAAAUUAUUAAUACAUUUCUGAUGGAUUAUACUAGCUAUAUUAAUAAAUAACAUUAACUCUAACUCUUGGUUUGUAUCCAAACUUUUAAUUUAACUGACCUAGGAAGGUUGAUUGAAAUUCCGUUUGGUGUUAUAAUUUAAAAACAAGUGAGAUGACACCUCUAAGAAUACAUAUGCAUCCACUUUUUUGAGUCAUUUGAAAAGGAUUAUAGAAAUAAAUGAAAUGCACAACAAAAACAGUAGAAGUGAGAACUGGUCCCUGUGGGUGUGUGGGGAUUGAGAAUAAGAGAGGAAGUGAUAAAUUGGGAAAGGAGAACAGGAUGCAUCUCUCUUUAGGCCACAGAAAAUACCAGAGGAAACUGGGGAAGAGUGUAGGAAGGCUUUUCUCCUACUUCUUUCCUCCCACAGGAAAUCACUAAUACUUUCUGAGAAAAGGGAUAAGCCGUCCAGUUUUUAUCCAUUAGUGAAACAGCAAUUUCUAGACUUAAGCAUAUUAGAGAGUACUGUCCUUUAUAAUAACUCAAUAAAUUUCCUCUAAGAAAGAAAAGGCUUGACAGUAAUCCCCAUUGUUUCUAAGGUAAACCUACCCUAUUUUAAAUGCAACUCCAAAAAUGUGACUUCUAAAGAGCAGCAAGCAGAUUAAUACAGAAAAUUCUAAGACCCCACUAAAAACACUCCAGUGUAAUGUAAUCCUUAUCCAGAAUUAAUUGAAGCAAAAUGAGCAGCACAUAGAAAUGUAUGCUUUUUAAGAAGCAUUUUAAGUUUCAAUGUAUGACAUGCCAGCCUUUCUGAGAACCUUUGAUAGAAGCAGCUGAGUGGAGCUAUUUGGUGUCCCCAUUUCCCUCCUGGCAUCCUCCUCUGAAUGUCACCACUAUGGGAGAAGUAGGUCCUGCUCAUAACAGAUCCUGGUCUAGUAUCCUUAAUCCAGAGAGACUCUUUAAGAGGCCAGGUCACUUUCCAUGGAGGAAGAGGCUGGGGCAUCUCCCUUCCACCCUCUCCUCCCCCAUACAGGACCUUACUCCCUGGGCUGUCCCCAGAAUUAACCUGGAAGCCUAGAGAUCAGAGCAGACAGACAGGUUUUGAUUUGGUAAAAAUUCCCAGGAUCAACCCCCAGGCUAACUUCCAUCUCUAGAAUUUAACCAUCCACCAGGUUUCUCCUCAGUCAUUUUCACUAGGUCAUGAUGAAAAACAUUUAGAUCUCUAGAAUAGUCACAGCUUCUGAUUCAGGGGAGGAAAUAAUGGCAUUAAGCAUCAAAAGCUGUUUGCAGAGCUUCUGAUCUCAUCUGCAUUCUAGUAAUAUAUGAUUCUUUACAUAGUUUUGGUUUUUAUAACGACUCCAGAGAACUAUAUAGAUUCUGAUCUGUUGAACCAUUUUGGAAUUAUUAUACAGUCUUUUAUAAUUAUUUAAGGAUCUCUUCCUGUAUUUAAAGGCGUGAAAACAAUAGAGAAAUUACAUUGUUGACUCUCAUGCAAUAGCAUAUAUCCAAUACAAUACCAAGCUGAAAUUUGGGGAUAGGAAGUGUUGGUUUACAUGUGUGUGCUAUAACCUGAAUGAAAUUACCCCUGCAUAAUUAAAAAGAACAUCUAAUUUUUGUUACCUUUCAGAAUGCAAGGCUCUGGAGGAUCUUUCCCUAUUUCUGUUUCAGGAUCUCUACUCUCCACACACUUGCUAAUUUUUUCACCUUGCAUUUUUUCUUGACGUAUGGGAAAGGAAGAGGAAAUUUGGAAACUGACAGGUACAGAGGGAACACAAUGUGAAGACACAGGGAGAAGAAGACCAUCCACAAGCCAAGGAGAGAGUCCUGGAACAGAUCUUUUCCUGGUAACCCUCAGAAAGGAACCAAUUUUGCUGACACUUUGAUCUCAAACUUCAAGUCUCCAGAACUGUGAGAAAAUAAAUUUCUGUUGCUUAAGGCA